rnacentral:piRNA from 1 species
UAACAAAAGUCUUUCUCUGGUGAGAU